GGUACCAUAGCCAAGUGGUAAGGCAUGGGCCUGCAAAGCCCUGACCCCCGGUUCAAAUCCGGGUGGUACCUCCA
rnacentral:tRNA from 1 species